GACAGAGGGGGCAAGCGUUGCUCGGAAUUACUGGGCGUAAAGGGCGCGUAGGCGGCCAACUAAGUCAGACGUGAAAUCCCUCGGCUUAACCGGGGAACUGCCUCUGAUACUGGAUGGCUUGAGAUUGGGAGAGGGAUGCGGAAUUCCAGGUGUAGCGGUGAAAUGCGUAGAUAUCUGGAGGAACACCGGUGGCGAAGGCGGCAUCCUGGACCAACACUGACGCUGAGGAGCGAAAGCCAGG
rnacentral:rRNA from 1 species